GUGGGGAAUCUUGCGCAAUGGGCGAAAGCCUGACGCAGCCAUGCCGCGUGAAUGAUGAAGGUCUUAGGAUUGUAAAAUUCUUUCACCGGGGACGAUAAUGACGGUACCCGGAGAAGAAGCUCCGGCUAACUUCGUGCCAGCAGCCGCGGUAAUACGAAGGGGGCUAGCGUUGCUCGGAAUUACUGGGCGUAAAGGGCGCGUAGGCGGACAGCUUAGUCAGAGGUGAAAGCCCAGGGUUCAACCUUGGAAUUGCCUUUGAUACUGGCUGUCUUGAGUUUGGGAGAGGUGAGUGGAACUCCGAGUGUAGAGGUGAAAUUCGUAGAUAUUCGGAAGAACACCAGUGGCGAAGGCGACUCACUGGCCCAAUACUGACGCUGAGGCGCGAAAGCGUGGGGAGCAAACAGGAUUAGAAACCCCGGUAGUCC
rnacentral:rRNA from 1 species